AUGCCGCCGAAGCCGCCGAGACCGGGGGAGCCGCCGAGGCCGGGGGAGCUGCCGCCGAGGAAGGGCAUGCUGCCGAUGCCGCCGAAGCCCGAGGUGGCGCCGCUGCUGCCGGGGAGGCUGAAUCCCGGCAUGCUGCUGCCGCCGCUGAAUGCCGGUGACCCGCUGCCGAGGCGGUCGAAGGGCGGGAAGGUCGUCGGCUGCAGGACCGCGUCCUUGCUGGCGGCUGCCGCCUCCGUCGUCUUGAUGUUCCUCGCCUCGGCGCUGGUCGCCGCGGCCAGCACGGCGAGGACGAGCAUCGCCGCCAUCUUGGUCGACUUCUCCAUCGCUAGCCUGCUCCUGAACUGGUGCUCUUGCUCCUGGCUAAUGUGUGAGUGGCUGCUUGCUUUGUUUGCUUGCUGCUUCUAG
rnacentral:rRNA from 1 species